rnacentral:rRNA from 1 species
AUUGAACGCUGGCGGCAGGCCUAACACAUGCAAGUCGAGCGGAAGAAGGGAGCUUGCUCCUGGAUUCAGCUGCGGACGGGUGAGUAAUGCCUAGGAAUCUGCCUGGUAGUGGGGGAUAACGUCCGGAAACGGGCGCUAAUACCGCAUACGCCCAGAGGGAGAAAGUGGGGGAUCUUCGGACCUUCCGCUAUCAGAUGAGCCUAGGUCGGAUUAGCUAGUUGGGGGGGUAAAGGCCUACCAAGGCGACGAUCCGUAACUGGUCUGAGAGGAUGAUCAGUCACACUGGAACUGAGACACGGUCCAGACUCCUACGGGAGGCAGCAGUGGGGAAUAUUGGACAAUGGGCGAAAGCCUGAUCCAGCCAUGCCGCGUGUGUGAAGAAGGUCUUCGGAUUGUAAAGCACUUUUGGUUGGGAAGAAGAGCAGUAAGUUAAUACCUUGCUGUUUUGACGUUACCAACAGAAUAAGCACCGGCUAACUUCGUG